rnacentral:rRNA from 1 species
UGGGGAAUAUUGGACAAUGGGCGCAAGCCUGAUCCAGCAAUACCGCGUGUGUGAAGAAGGCCUUCGGGUUGUAAAGCACUUUCAGUAGCUAAGAAAUACUCAAAACUAAUACCUUUGAGAGUUGACGUAAACUACAGAAGAAGCACCGGCUAACUCUGUGCCAGCAGCCGCGGUAAUACAGAGGGUGCAAGCGUUAAUCGGAAUUACUGGGCGUAAAGCGCACGUAGGUGGGUGCUUAAGUCGAAUGUGAAACCCCCGAGCUUAACUUGGGAACUGCAUGCGAUACUGAACACCUAGAGUAUAGUAGAGGGAAGUGGAAUUUCCGGAGUAGCGGUGAAAUGCGUAGAUAUCGGAAGGAACACCAGUGGCGAAGGCGGCUUCCUGGGCUAAUACUGACACUGAGGUGCGAAAGCGUGGGGAGCAAACAGGAUUAGAUACCCCCGUAGUCC